UACAGAGGGUGCAAACGUUGUUCGGAAUUAUUGGGCGUAAAGCGCGUGUAGGCGGCAUUGCAAGUCGGGUGUGAAAUCCCUCAGCUCAACUGAGGAAGUGCGCCCGAAACUGCAGUGCUUGAGUACCGGAGAGGGUCUCGGAAUUCCCCAAGUAGAGGUGAAAUUCGUAGAUAUCUGGAGGAAUACCGGUGGCGAAGGCGGCAUCCUGGACCGACAUUGACGCUGAUGAGCGAAAGCUAGGGGAGCAAACGGG
rnacentral:rRNA from 1 species